AGAUGGCCAGUGCCUCCUCAGAGGCCCACGUUUCAGCUUCAUAGGACUCCUCCUUAAGAAUUGUGAUAAGCUAUCAGUCUGAGCAAGCAGAUGCCAGGAGUGGACUGAGAAGUCACUAAAUCAUGUCUGACUCUGAUGAAUGGAUGAAUUUAAAUGGAACGGACGAAUUUAACCCAGAUGACCAUUAUAUCUACUACUGUGGUCAAGAGUCUGAG